rnacentral:rRNA from 1 species
CGGCGGACGGGUGAGUAACGCGUGGGUAACCUGCCUCAUACAGGGGGAUAACAGUUGGAAACGGCUGCUAAUACCGCAUAAGCGCACAGUACCGCAUGGUACCGUGUGAAAGACUCCGGUGGUAUGAGAUGGACCCGCGUCUGAUUAGGUAGUUGGUGGGGUAACGGCCUACCAAGCCGACGAUCAGUAGCCGACCUGAGAGGGUGACCGGCCACAUUGGGACUGAGACAUGGCCCAA